AGCUUCUCCUUGUGUGGCCUUUCCCAGCUGAGGACUGACAUUGUAGAGCCUAAAUCAUGGAAUUUGGACUCAAUGGCAUUUUCAUUCUGAUGAUUUUGCAAGGUGUCCAUUGUGACAUUCAGCUGGUGGAGUCUGGGGGAGAUGUGAGACAGCCUGGAGGAUCCCUGAAACUCUCCUGCAAAGCUUCUGGAUUCACCUUCAGCAGCUACUACAUGAGUUGGGUCCGCCAGGCUCCAGGGAAGGGGCUGGAGUGGAUCUCAGAAAUUAGUAAUGAUGGAAGUAGCACAUACUAUGCAGACUCUGUGAAAGGCCGAUUCACCAUCUCCAGGGACAAUGGCAACAGCCUGCUGCACCUGCAGAUGAAUUCCCUGAAAGCCGAGGACACAGCCACAUAUUACUGUGCAAGAGACACAGUGAGGGAGAGCAGUGAGAGAGCAGACAAAAACCUCCUCAUUAGAGAGUUCUGGUGGAGAAUGACAGAGAGGGAACUCCAGAACUCUGAGCACAAGGAGCCCAGUUACAAUAACAGGUGAAGAGGG